rnacentral:tRNA from 1 species
GGGAGUGUAGCUUAGUGGUAGAGCGCUUGCCUAGCAUGCAUGAAGCCCUGGAUUCCAUUCCUC